GCCCCCGUGGCGCAAUCGGUAGCGCGCAAGACUUCUAAUCUUGAGGCUCGGGGUUCGAGCCCCCGCGGGGGCU